rnacentral:rRNA from 1 species
UACGGAGGAUGCAAGCGUUAUCCGGAUUUAUUGGGUUUAAAGGGUGCGUAGGCGGAUAUGUAAGUCAGCGGUGAAACUCACAGGCUCAACCUGUGCCGUGCCGCUGAAACUGUGUAUCUGGAAUGCGGAUGCUGUGGGAGGAAUGUGUAGUGUAGCGGUGAAAUGCAUAGAUAUUACACAGAACACCGAUUGCGAAGGCAUCUCACAAAGCCGUUAUUGACGCUGAGGCACGAAAGUGUGGGGAU